rnacentral:rRNA from 1 species
UACGUAGGGUGCGAGCGUUGUCCGGAAUUAUUGGGCGUAAAGAGCUCGUAGGCGGUGUGUCACGUCGGCCGUGAAAACCUGCAGCUUAACUGUGGGCGUGCGGUCGAUACGGGCAUCACUGGAGUUCGGCAGGGGAGACUGGAAUUCCUGGUGUAGCGGUGAAAUGCGCAGAUAUCAGGAGGAACACCGGUGGCGAAGGCGGGUCUCUGGGCCGAUACUGACGCUGAGGUGCGAAAGCGUGGGGGAGCAAACAGG